UAGAGAUAGUGCCCCUCUUCGGAGCAUUGGAGACAGGUGGUGCAUGGUUGUCGUCAGCUCGUGUCGUGAGAUGUUGGGUUAAGUCCCGCAACGAGCGCAACCCUUGAUCUUAGUUGCCAGCACUUCGGGUGGGCACUCUAGGAUGACUGCCGGUGACAAACCGGAGGAAGGUGGGGAUGACGUCAAAUCAUCAUGCCCCUUAUGACCUGGGCUACACACGUACUACAAUGGCCGAUACAACGGGAAGCGAAACCGCGAGGUGGAGCCAAUCCUAUCAAAGUCGGUCUCAGUUCGGAUUGCAGGCUGCAACUCGCCUGCAUGAAGUCGGAAUUGCUAGUAAUCGCGGAUCAGCAUGCCGCGGUGAAUACGUUCCCGGGUCUUGUACACACCGCCCGUCACACCACGAGAGUUUACAACACCCGAAGCCGGUGGGGUAACCCGCAAGGGAGCUAGCCGUCGAAGGUGGGGUAGAUGAUUGGGGUGAAGUCGUAACAAGGUAGCCGUAUCGGAAGGUGCGGCUGGAUCACCUCCUUU
rnacentral:rRNA from 1 species